UACGUAGGUGGCGAACGUUAUCCGGAAUCACUGGGCGUAAAGGGUCCGCAGGUGGUCUUAAAGGUCUGGCGUGAAAUCAUCUGGCUCAACCAGAUGCCGCCGUUGGAAACCAUGAGACUAGGUUCACGCAGAGGUCGGUGGAAUUCCCGGUGUAGUGGUGGAAUGCGUAGAUAUCGGGAGGAACCCCUAAAGCGAAGGCAGCCGGCUGGGCGAUGAACGACACUGAGGGACGAAAGCGUAGGUAGCGAACAGG
rnacentral:rRNA from 1 species